rnacentral:tRNA from 1 species
GCGAGCGUGGCCAAGUGGUUAAGGCAAUGGAUUGUGGUUCCAUCAUUCGCGGGUUCAAUUCCCGUCGUUCGCC